rnacentral:tRNA from 1 species
ACCCCUGUGACGCAGCGGUUAGCGUGUCGUUCUUAUAAUGCGAAAGUCGUGAGUUCGAAUCUCACCCGGGGUA